CACGUAGGGCGCAAGCGUUGUUCGGAUUUAUUGGGCGUAAAGGGCGCGUAGGCGGCGGGGUAAGUCGGGUGUGAAAUCUCAGGGCUCAACCCUGAAACUGCACUCGAUACUGCUCUGCUUGAGGACUGGAGAGGAGACUGGAAUUCACGGUGUAGCAGUGAAAUGCGUAGAGAUCGUGAGGAAGACCAGUGGCGAAGGCGGGUCUCUGGACAGUUCCUGACGCUGAGGCGCGAAGGCCAGGGGAGCAAACAGG
rnacentral:rRNA from 1 species